rnacentral:pre_miRNA from 1 species
CGGCUUACCUCGCGUUCUGAGAGCUCAAGUCCCCGCCACCUCUGUCGGGACUUUGACAAGCCAUCUGAGAUCGCGAUUAAAGCUGAU